UGCCCCAUGUCUCCAUGGCUUCCCACGGGUCCUGGAAGGGGCAGAGUGGGUAUUUGCUCACAAGGCUACCAGAAAGGAGGAAGGGGUUCCAGUUUGGCCAGCGUUGCCCGGCUGUUUGUGCAGUUGCACUGGAACCCUGGUUGCCAGCUGCUGGCCAUCUUUCUUCUCUGAAAACCGAGCUGGGAGCUGUGCCAAUUUGGG
rnacentral:lncRNA from 1 species